UACGUAGGUGACCAGCGUUGUCCGGAUUUACUGGGCGUAAAGAGCGCGCAGGCGGUCGUUCAAGUCGAGUGUGAAAGCCCCCGGCUCAACUGGGGAGGGUCACUCGAUACUGAUCGACUUGAAGGCAGGAGAGGGAAGCGGAAUUCCCGGUGUAGUGGUGAAAUGCGUAGAUAUCGGGAGGAACACCAGUGGCGAAGGCGGGUCUCUGGGCCGAUACUGACGCUGAGGAGCGAAAGCGUGGGGAGCGAACAGG
rnacentral:rRNA from 1 species